CUGGAGAAAUUCCAGGAUGGCAUGUAGGGAUUGGGCUGGACAUUGAAGCAGCAUAAGCGCAACAUGUCCCUGAUAAUCUUGUUGUAGUGUCAUGAAGGGACAAAUUGAAAAUGGUCAAAUAUUUGAUAAAUAUUUGCUGUGAGUUAACUGUGUGUUUUUUUUUUCUUUGAUCUUUGGAGUAUAAAUCCCAACAUUCACAGGCGCAGUCUGUCCCAGCUUUACGCUGGAUGAUCUGUGACCAGCUGGCCUCUCAGUCUCAGUAAAGCUUUUUUUUUCCUUUUUGUCCUGUCUUUAACCCUUAAAACUCCAAGCUGUUUUCUACUAUUUUUGUUAGACCUGCUUGUUUGUUUGUUUGUUUUUCAUAUAAACCAGUCUGUAGCAGCUUUUAAU